AGAGUUUGAUCCUGGCUCAGGAUGAACGCUAGCGGCAGGCUUAACACAUGCAAGUCGAGGGGCAGCAUGAGACAGAGAUUCGUCGAAGUCUUGAUGGCGACCGGCGCAAGGGUGCGUAACGCGUGAGCAACUUGCCCGUUUCAGGGGGAUAACCGGUGGAAACGCCGACUAAUACCCCAUAGUAUUGAGUUUAGGCAUCUUUACUCAAUUAAAGAAUUUCGGAAACGGAUAGGCUCGCGUGACAUUAGCUAGAUGGCGGGGUAACGGCCCACCAUGGCUACGAUGUCUAGGGGUUCUGAGAGGAAGGUCCCCCACACUGGAACUGAGACACGGUCCAGACUCCUACGGGAGGCAGCAGUGAGGAAUAUUGGUCAAUGGUCUGACGACUGAACCAGCCAUGCCGCGUGAAGGUCACGGCCCUAUGGGUCUUAAACUUCUUUUGUAAGGGAGCAAUAAGUCUCACGUGUGGGAUGAUGAGAGUACCUUACGAAUAAGCAUCGGCUAACUCCGUGCCAGCAGCCGCGGUAAUACGGGGGAUGCAAGCGUUAUCCGGAUUUAUUGGGUUUAAAAGGGUGCGUAGGCGGCAUUGUAAGUCAGCGGUGAAAUUUCGGAGCUCAACUUCGAACGUGCCGUUGAUACUGCAGUGCUAGAAUGCGGAUGCCGUGGGAGGAAUGUGUGGUGUAGCGGUGAAAUGCAUAGAUAUCACGAAGAACUCCGAUUGCGAAGGCAGUCCACUGGGCCGCAACUGACGCUGAAGCUCGAAAGUGCGGGUAUCAAACAGGAUUAGAUACCCUGGUAGUCCGCACCGUAAAC
rnacentral:rRNA from 1 species